GACGAACGCUGGCGGCGUGCUUAACACAUGCAAGUCGAACGGGCCUGCCUGGCUUUGGUUGGGUGGGUGAGUGGCGAACGGGUGAGUAACACGUGAGUAACCUGCCCUCUUCUCUUGGAUAACUGCUUGAAAGGGCGGCUAAUACGGGAUGUUCUGGCUGCCUCGCAUGGGGUGGUUUGGAAAGAUUCGGCCUGGUUUUGGUUGUUUUGGUGGGGGAUGGGCUCGCGGCUUAUCAGCUUGUUGGUGGGGUGAUGGCCUACCAAGGCGGUGACGGGUAGCCGGCCUGAGAGGGUGGACGGUCACACUGGGACUGAGACACGGCCCAGACUCCUCGGGAGGCAGCAGUGGGGGAUUUUGCACAAUGGGCGCAAGCCUGAUGCAGCGACGCCGCGUGAGGGAUGGAGGCCUUCGGGUUGUGAACCUCUGUCGCCGGUGAUGUAGGCUCUGCUUUGUGGGUGGGG
rnacentral:rRNA from 1 species